rnacentral:rRNA from 1 species
AACGAACGCUGGCGGCAUGCCUAACACAUGCAAGUCGAACGAGACCUUCGGGUCUAGUGGCGCACGGGUGCGUAACGCGUGGGAACCUGCCCUUAGGUUCGGAAUAACUCCCCGACAGGGGUGCUAAUACCGGAUAAUGUCUUCGGACCAAGGAUUUAUCGCCUUUGGUUGGGCCCGCGUUGGAUUAGCUAGUUGGUAGGGUAAAAGCCUACCAAGGCGACGAUCCAUAGCUGGUCUGAGAGGAUGAUCAGCCACACUGGGACUGAGACACGGCCCAGAAUCUUACGGGAGGCAGCAGUGGGGAAUAGUGGACAAUGGGCGAAAGGCUGAUCCAGCAAUGCCGCGUGAGUGAUGAAGGCAUUAGGGUUGUAAAGCUCUUUUAACCGGGAUGAUAAUGACAGUACCGGGAGAAUAAGCUCCGGCUAACUCCGUG